AAACCAACAGGGAUUGCCUCAGUAACGGGGAGUGAAGCGGCAAAAGCUCAAAUUUGAAAUCCCCCCGGGGAGUUGUAAUUUGAAGAUUGCGUCUUGGAGGCGACCGUGUCUAUGUUCCUUGGAACAGGACGUCACAGAGGGUGAGAAUCCCGUGCGGCACGGCCCCCGGCUCCUUAUAAGGCGCUCUCGACGAGUCGAGUUGUUUGGGAAUGCAGCUCAAAGUGGGUGGUAAAUUCCAUCUAAAGCUAAAUACAGGCGAGAGACCGAUAGCGAACAAGUACAGUGAUGGAAAGAUGAAAAGCACUUUGAAAAGAGAGUGAAACAGCACGUGAAAUUGUUGAAAGGGAAGGGCAUGCCGUCAGAUUGUCAGUGUGGGUAAGAAGCGGGGUACAAAGACUGUGGAACGUGGCCCUCGGGUGUUAUAGCCGCAGUUCAUGCCCCGUCUCUUUCCGAGGCCUGCUUUGAGGACACCGACGUAAUGACGGUACGCCGC
rnacentral:rRNA from 1 species